rnacentral:lncRNA from 1 species
GACUCAGGCGAUUCUGGAGCAUACCGAGGGCAUUAUCAUUGCGGAUCUCGAUGAGAUGGCCGGUAUCGAGGCUCUUGAUGAUGUACCUAUUGCCGAGCUCGAUGUACAGGGUGGCCGUGGACGUGGACGUGGCCGUGGCCGUGGCCGUGGCCGAGGACGUGGUCGAGGACGUCGAGGGAGAGGAAGAUCGAGAGACUGAUUGUAUUUUUUUUAUUUUGAGAAUACACUUUGUAUAAUAUUAUAUAAUACAUGAUUUAGUUCAUAUUUGUAUAUUUGUAAGUGUUUUGUUUGAUAUUUUUAUCCAGUUGAUUGUAUUUUGUUAUUCCACUCGUGAUGUUGUGUUUCUUGUUUGAAUAUUUGUUAUCGUGAAAAAACUUACCUCAAACUUGUUGAAAUUGACGCCAAAAUUGAGCAGAAAUUAGCACCUGGUGCUGUUUGCACUAAAGGCGGUGAAUGGUUCACCGCCUUUAGUGCAAAUCCAGAAAGCCGCAAAAAAAUGGCUAAGUCCUGGACUAGGGGCUUUUACACAGAUAAGACGGUGAACCAUUCACCGUCUUUAGUGCAACACAGAUAAGACGGUGAACCAUUCACCGUCUUAUCAGUAUUUUAGGCCACACUCCAGUACUUGGCUAAAUUAGGCUAGGUGGGAGUUUACUCUAAAGACGGUGAAGCGUUCACCGCCUAAUGAAGACAGUAAACAAUUCACCGCCUCAUAUAGGCCACAAAGCAGCUGGUUUUUAUGGGGAUUUUUGCGGGGAUUUUGCUAUAAAGACGGUGAAUGAUUCACUGUCUUAGUUAAGACGGUGAACCAUUUACCGCCUUAUCGAGGGCACAGGUAAGGUGGCCUUGUAAGGGGAGCGGGGGUGUACACAAGUAAGGUGGCCUUAUAAGGGUGGCCUUGUAAGGGGAGCGGGGGUGCAUUUGCUCUAAAGACGGUGAAUGGUUCACCGCCUUCAUAAGACAGUAAACCAUUCACCACCUUCACGAGAAAUAUGCAAAGGCGGUGAACGAUUCAUCGUCUUUACGAGAAAUGUCCGAGCUGGCGCCGACGUGGCGAAAGGAGGUUAGUUUUACAAAUAAAUUUUUCAGAGGGUCAUUUUGCCGAUUACAAAAUUUUACAGGGUUAUUUUCAAAAAAAUCCCUGAUCUCUCUCUCUCGCACCGCUUCCAAUAUAUAUAUAUAUAUAUAUAUAUAUAUAUUUAUUUAUUUAUUUUUAGCUUCCAUCUUCUUCUUCUUCACUUUUUUUUUUUAAUUUUUUUAAUAUAUUUUUUAAUGCAAUGUGCAAUUUGGGUGUGAACGAUCCCUCUCUCGCACCCCCCCCCCUCUCCGAUCGCCUCCUCCGAGCUAUUUAUAGAACUUUGGAGGGGGUAUGUUUGCUAGAUCCAAAAAUCUCUCAGAGAUUUGUUGGUGGGAUGGCAUGAAUUUUAUAGAGAGAGAAAGAGAGAAAUAGAGAGAGAGGAAGAGAGAAAUAGAGAAAGAAAGAGAGAUUCAAAGAUCUUUCAGAGAUUUGUUAGUGGGAUGGCAUAAAUUUUGUAGAGAGAGAUAGAGAGAAAUAGAGAGAGAGGAAUAAAGGGGGAGAAAGAGAGAAAGAAAGCGAGAGUAAGAGAGAGAGAGGGGGAUCGGUUCAGGAGAGAGGGGGCGGUAGGUUUGGGGAGAGAGAGAGGGUCGAUCUCUUUGGUAGAGAGAGAGAGAGAGUCCCAAACCGAGAAGAGAGAGCGGUCAGUUUUUGGGAGAGAGAGAGGGGUGGGAUCAGCCUCCAACCGCCACGUGGAAUAGGGCCAUCUUCUAAUCGCCACGUGUAUUGACUGUUCUGUCAAUUUAAAUAGUUAAAGAUUAAAAGUAAAAAUGUAUAAAAGUUGCCUCCACUAAACCCAUGGGAUUUGACUACCUAAUCUUUAAAAAUUUUAAAUUUACUAGCUAACUUUUUCAUUUAUAUUAUUUGAGCCAAUUAGAGACUUUUGAAUUUUAAAAUUUGAAUGCGUAGUUUACCUUUAUAAAUUUAGUAUAUUUUAUAUAAUUUAUAUAACUACAAAUUUAUUAAAAUAAAUAAUUAAUUUAAAUUUUGUAUCCGAAGGAUUUCAAAAUUACUUAAAAUUAACCAAAUUCAAAAGAUAGAAUAGUCGAAUCAAAAUGGCCUAAAAGUUCAAGUAAAUUUUAUAUAUUUUUACCUAAAUUAAUAUCAGAGGAUUUAAUUGUGACACGUAUUAUAGUAUGAGGACCAAAUGGAUAAUUUAGCCGAGUAAAAUGAUUCGGGGCUCUCCGUUUCUCCCUCCAAAACAGAAAACUUGUCGUUGGCGAGCACGGAUAUACGAAAUUUUAUCCGGAUCCGAAUCCGAAUCCGAAUAGGACGAAUUUAUCGAAUGUUAAAUGAAUAUGAUUUCAUACCCGAUAAAUUUAGAUUUGGAUAUAAAUUUUAUUUCCUAUCCGAUCAUAACCCGAGUCCAAACCGGAGCGAAAUUAAUUUUACAUUAUAUAAUUUCAUAUCAUAUUUAAAUUUGUAUUAUAAAAUUUUAAAUUUUAACAUAAUAUUUUUUGAAAAAUAAUAAAGAGAAAUAAUUAUUUUGUGUUUGAAUUUUCAGGUUUAGAUUCGGGUUCCGGGUUAUUGGACGGGUUGAGUUUUCAAAAUCCAUCAGGUUGGGAAUUCGGGUUCGGGUUUUGAAGAAAAACCCGCCCCGAAUCCGACCGUUGACAUCCCCACAGAGAAAUGGAGAACCCGCCCCCAUUCUCUCUCUUCUUUCUCUCUCCUCUCCUCUCCUCUCCUCACUGUCGCCAUGGACACCGACGACGAGCCCUCGUCGUCGUCGUCGGCGGCGGCGGCGGCGGAGGCGGAGGCGGAGGCGAUUCGGGCGGAGCCGCCACGGAUACGGCGGCUGGAGGAGGCGGUGGUGAACCGGAUCGCGGCGGGGGAGGUGAUCCAGCGCCCGGCGUCGGCGGUGAAGGAGCUCGUCGAGAACAGCCUCGACGCCGCCGCAUCCUCCGUCUCCGUCGUCGUCAAGGACGGGGGCCUCAAGCUCAUCCAGGUCUCCGACAACGGCCACGGCAUCCGGGUACUCAAAGCCCUAAACCCUAACCCUAGAACUAACCCCUGCAAAACCCUAGCCAUCUUGCAAAUCAAUCUCCUAUACCUGCUGAUUAGAAUGCGACUGUGUGGUAUUCAAUCUAGUAGAAGGUUGGAACGGCAUUUUGAAAUGGACCCCUUAACUGCAUUUUUUCUAUUACCUCUUUAUUGAGAGAUUUUAGGCAAGUACAUUAGGAAUUUUUUAUCAAAUCGAUUGAUAAUUUAAUCAAAUUUAAUGUAUUUUAUAGUUUGAAUUACUUUUUAGAAGAUAAAAUCAGAACAAUUAAUAACUAACAGCUAAUAGAACUGCUAAAUUUAACAAAAGCGUCAAUUUAAUUAACUAUAAUAGUUCAAAACAAAAAAAGAAGUUUAUGAAGGUGUCAAUAAAGAGAGGAAAAAAAAAAGUAAAGUUGAGGGACCUAUUUCGGAAUGGCGUAUAGCUGAAGGAGUCUCCAUGUAUUUUUACCUUCGCAGAAUUUCUUGCGUCUUAACCCUCUAAUUAAGGACAACAGCAAGUUGGUAGGAUUUUGUAUUUUAAAGCAUGAGCCUUUUGUGUUUUUGUGGGGUUUUAUGUGAUUUCUCAGUAAUUUUGGUAGUUUCAUCUAUUUUCUUGAAUCGUACUCUAUUUUGUGUAAUCAUUUAACUAGACAUUGCUGAUUUUUCUGGUGUGAACAGUUAAAAGUUAAUGAAGAAGAUAAGAUAAAGAUAAUUAGGAUGUAUAUGAUUAAUCUGUUAAGCUUAUGGAGCAAUGCCGUUGUGGAAAGUUAAGAUUUUUGCUUGUUAACUAAUAUGGAUUUGGCAAUUUUUUAUUAUUUUGUACAGUGCAUUCAUUGGCAGUUCCCUAUAAUCCUGAUUGAAUCUGGGAAUAAGUUAUACAUUAACAAGUAAUAGGACAACUUUUGAUGAAUGAAAAUUUCAUUUUGUGAUUGCACCCUGAAUCAUAUCGUUCCAGAUAUUAUGUAUUACACGUACUAGCUACUUAUCAUACUCCGAAGUAUAUUGGAUAAGUUAUUCUAGCAUCCAACCAGGCUUUUCACGUAUUGAAUCCGGUAUUUUGGUGAUUUGUGAUCAUAGAGCGAAGCAGAGUUAUACUUAAUAAUUUGAGUUAAAAAAAAAGAGUAUAAACUUCAAAUAUUUGGAUGUAUUAUGUACUUGAGUGAAGUGUUGACUUGACAACUAGUACUACUAUUUAUCUGAACUACGUUUGCACAUUGUGUUGGCAGUACGAAGAUUUGUCUAUAUUAUGUGAAAGACACACAACAUCAAAAUUAUCUGCAUUUGAGGACCUACAAACAAUCAAAUCAAUGGGUUUUAGAGGAGAAGCCUUGGCUAGCAUGACUUACGUUGGCCAUGUCACAGUGACAACAAUAACUGAAGGGCAAUUGCAUGGUUACAGGUAAAUAUACAUAGGACUGAAUUCUAGAUGGUUUUUGGCAAUUAUAUUUCUGCUUUAUUUAGAACUUAAUAAUUUAUUUUUCUAUUCCAUUCAGGGUAUCAUAUAGAGAUGGUGUAAUGGAGCAUGAACCGAAGCCAUGUGCUGCAGUUAAAGGAACACAGAUUAUGGUUGGGAGUUUUAGUUGAUUUGGAUUGUUUCAUUCUUUAGAAUCUUGCAGCAGUAUUUUGUUUAGAAUAUUAACAUAUUUAGCCCCUGCAAACUUAUGCAUGUAUAUAUGGAUAACCUGUAAAAUUUGAUUUUCAUAUAUACUCUAAAAAAUCAUCAUUUUUUUACAUAUAUAUAUAUAUAUAUAUAUAUAUAUAUAUAUAUAUAUAUAUAUAUAUAUAUAUAUAGNUCCAUUACGUUGUGAUAAGGUGUCCGAAAGGACUUUUUUUGAAACUAACCCUGUGAAAUUUCAUAUUUGCCAAAUUAACCCUGUGAAAAUUUUAUUUGUGAAACUAACCCUCCUCUCGCCACCUCAGCUGCCACAUCAGCAUAUAUCACAAAGACGGUGACUCGUUCACCGUCUUUCUUGUAUACUUCUUGAAGACGGUAAAUGGUUAACCGUCUUCUCGAGGCGUGGACCACCGCCAGCAAUUCCCCCGCCUUCUCAGCAAUUCCCCGCUUAGCCCAUGGUGCCCAGAUAAGACGGUAAAUGGUUAACCGUCUUCUCUUGGCGUACCCUGAGAAGACGGUUACUCGCUUACCGCCUUGUCGAAGACGGUGAAUGGUUUACCGCCUAUCUAUCUGAAAACUUUACCAUCUUUAGUGUAGAACUCCACCCAGCCUAAUUUCGCCAAGUGCUGGAUAGGGGGCUAAAACACCCAUAAGACGGUGAUUCGUUCACCGUCUCAUCUCGGCUCCACUAAACACGGUUGGUUGGACUCCUAGAUAAGACGGUGAACUGUCUACCGUCUUACCAUCUUUAGUGUAGAACUCCACCCAGCCUAAUUUCGCCAAGUGCUGGACAGGGGGCUAAAACACCCAUAAGACGGUGAUUCGUUCACCGUCUCAUCUCGGCUCCACUAAACACGGUUGGUUGGACUCCUAGAUAAGACGGUGAACUGUCUACCGUCUUCAUUACACGGUUAACGAUUCACCGUCUUAUGAAGACGGUGAACGGUUCACCGUCUUCAAUUAGGUUACCCCACCCCAGACCGAGCCCGAUACCUCUCCCUUCCUUUUCCCGCUCACGCUCUCUCUCUAUCUCUCUGUCUCUCUCCACGAGCCGCCCGUCGUCGCCGCUACCAGUGCCGAGGUCGCCGCCCCCUGUCGCCGCCGCCCGUGCCGAGGUCGCUGCCCCGUGUCACCGACGUCGCCGCCCCCUGUCGCCGACGUCGCCGCCCGUGCCAAAGUCGCCCCCUAUCGCAGCCGCCCGUGACAAGGUCGCUGCCCACGGUCGCCCACGGUCGCCGACGUCGCCGCCGCCGCCCCUGCCGAGGUCGCUGCCCAUCCCUCUCUCAGGUGUGUUUUCUAGUGUAGGUUUAAUAUAAAUGUAGUUGUUGUAAGCUUCUCUAACUGUAAGUGUAGGUUUAAUGUAAAUGUAGGUUUAAUGUAAAUGUAGGUUUAAUGUAACUGUAAGUGUAGGUUUAACUCUAGUGUAGGUUUAAUGUACAUGGCGGCCGUACACAGAUGCUGUAUUAGAGGUGCUACCAGCAUUCUGUGUACAGGGCAGUGAGGUAUGGCGAUCGCGGACCACGCUGAUUUGUUUUCAUAUCGUCGAGCUUCACGUGCCCGAUCGAGUCCUUCGGCAGUUUGGUCUCCUGCAGCAUAUACCUAUUCAUGUAGAGACCACCCGUCGCUUCACAUCUCAGGGGCAGCCAGAUGAGCAUUGGGGCCACUUUCAUGCUGCACACAUCGAGAGAUGGGGACAGCGAUUACAGGCUAUUAUUGACCAGGAUCCGAUUGUCGGUGAUGACCCGGUACAGGCGACCUCUAUAUAUAUGGAGUGGUAUUGGCAGAUUACGAGAAGAUGGAUUUCUCGUCCAGUACAGCGUCCACCAUUGACAUACCACCCUCGCGGCCAGACCGAGAGAGCACUGGUACGAUCACUCAUAUGUUAAUUUUUUAUAUACAUUAUCUUAUAGUUAAUAUAUAAUGCAUCUAAUGAGUUUUUUUCUAUAAUGCAGGUGGACGCAUUACGACAGGCUCAAAUGGGCAUGAGAGGGCUAGUUCAUGAUCGACCGUCUUACGAUGCGAUGAUAGAGACAUUAACGAGCAUGGAUGUCCAGAUUGAGUCAGUACUGGAGUACAUUCCUUCGAUACCUGUCGCCACUGAUGUUGGAGGUCGAGAUUUUGGUCAACCCUCGACAUCGGGUCAUCACAGGAGACACUCACCGACACCGACUGGAUCACCAUCUCUAUCUCCUAGUGAUGUUGCAGAUUUGCCCGCCGCCCCUAGAUUUACUUUAUUGCCGCUGGACUUGGACUCACUUCCGCCGCCAGUCUCUCGAGAGCACUUUAGAUUAGUCUACUCUCGACGUCAUGUCGCGUCAUCAUCACAGGCCCGUCUAGCAUCUACACCGGCCAUUAUCGAGGGUGCUCGACCUGAGACAGAGGAGACUCAGACUCAGGCGAUUCUGGAGCAUACCGAGGGCAUUAUCAUUGCGGAUCUCGAUGAGAUGGCCGGUAUCGAGGCUCUUGAUGAUGUACCUAUUGCCGAGCUCGAUGUACAGGGUGGCCGUAGACGUGGACGUGGCCGUGGCCGUGGCCGAGGACGUGGUCGAGGACGUCGAGGGAGAGGAAGAUCGAGAGACUGAUUGUAUUUUUUUUAUUUUGAGAAUACACUUUGUAUAAUAUUAUAUAAUACAUGAUUUAGUUCAUAUUUGUAUAUUUGUAAGUGUUUUGUUUGAUAUUUUUAUCCAGUUGAUUGUAUUUUGUUAUUCCACUCGUGAUGUUGUGUUUCUCGUUUGAAUAUUUCUUAUCGUGAAAAAACUUGCCUCAAACUUGUUGAAAUUGGCGGCAAAAUUGAGUUUGCCUCAACCUGGUACUGUUUGCUUCAUAUUUGUAUAUUUGUAAGUAUUUUGUUUGAUAUUUUUAUCCAGUUGAUUGUAUUUUGUUAUUCCACUCGUGAUGUUGUGUUUCUCGUUUGAAUAUUUCUUAUCGUGAAAAAACUUGCCUCAAACUUGUUGAAAUUGGCGGCAAAAUUGAGUUUGCCUCAACCUGGUACUGUUUGCUUCAUAUUUGUAUAUUUGUAAGUAUUUUGUUUGAUAUUUUUAUCCAGUUGAUUGUAUUUUGUUAUUCCACUCGUGAUGUUGUGUUUCUCGUUUGAAUAUUUCUUAUCGUGAAAAAACUUGCCUCAAACUUGUUGAAAUAGGCGCUAGAAUUUGAGCUCAACCUGGUGCUGGUUGCACUAAAGGCGGUGAAUGGUUCACCGUCUUUAGUGUAAAACUCCAGAACCCCGAAAAAAUGGCUAAGUCCUGGACUGGGUUCUUUUACACAGAUAAGACGGUGAACUAUUCACCGUCUUUAGAUAAGACGGUAAACUAUUAACCGUCUUAUCUGUGUUUUAGCCCAACCACAACUUGGCCAAUUUACUCUGAAGACGGUGAAUAGUUAACCGUCUAAUGAAGACGGUAACCCAUUCACCGUCUUAUCUGUGUUUUAGGCCCCCUCUCAAGGACUUGGCCAAAUUAGGCUGGCUAGGGAGAUAAGACGGUAAAUUGUUUACCGUCUUUUAGAAGACGGUAAACAGUUAACCGUCUUAUAAAGGCACCUUGUGCCACGCGGGGAAUUGCUGAGAAGGUGGUAGGGUGCGCGGGGAAUUGCUGAAAAGGCGGCAUGCUACGCCUAGAGAAGACGGUUAACGAUUUACCGUCUGAAUAAGACGGUUAACCAUUUACCGUCUUCAAGAGCUAUACUUAUAGACGGUGAACGAAUCACCGUCUUUAUGAGAAAUGCUGAUCUGGCCGCUGAGGUGGCGAGAGGAAGGUUAGUUUCACAAAUAAAAUUUUCACAGGGUUAGUUUGGCAAAUAUGAAAUUUUACAGGGUUAGUUUCGAAAAAACUCCAUUUUAGAUAUCAACUAUUAAGCUUUUUAUC